rnacentral:lncRNA from 1 species
UCAUCUUUUUGAGUAGUUUCCAUUCAGACAAAAAUAACCCUUGUAAUGUAUUCAACUGGGCAGACCUAUUCAGAUGAAGAAACGUAAUAAAAAGGUUGCUUCUGAUAGAUUGGUCAAAUUUGAUUUCGAGUAAUCUAAUUAAAGUUUCUACAAUUAAGUUCAUGAUCAUUUGAUCAUUUUGAUUUCAGAUUGACACAAACCUUGGAAAAAAGGAGAGGAACGAAGCCAGAGGAGGAAUUAGGAAGCGUUAGUUGAUUUAAGAGGGGAAUUGAAGAAGCUUACCUGCGACUGCGAGUGAAGGCGGCGAAGAGCGAGGA